CCUACGGGUGGCUGCAGUCGGGAAUUUUGGGCAAUGGGCGAAAGCCUGACCCAGCAACGCCGCGUGAAGGAUGAAGUAUUUCGGUAUGUAAACUUCGAAAGAAUGGGAAGAAUAAAUGACGGUACCAUUUAUAAGCUCCGGCUAACUACGUGCCAGCAGCCGCGGUAAUACGUAGGGAGCAAGCGUUGUUCGGAUUUACUGGGCGUAAAGGGCGCGUAGGCGGCGCGGUAAGUCACUUGUGAAAUCUCUGAGCUUAACUCAGAACGGCCAAGUGA
rnacentral:rRNA from 1 species